GUCUGACAAUGCUGUCACCAGCUCAGCUUUUCUGCUUCCUCCUGCUCGGAGUCUCAGGCUCCACAGGGAUUAAAGUGGUGACUCAGUCUCCAGACUCCCUGUCCGCAUCUCCUGGGGAGAGGGUGACCAUCCACUGCAAAGCCAGUGAGAGUCUCACCUCUGGGGGAAAAGAGUUUUUACACUGGUAUCAACAGAAAUGGGGGCAGGCCCCUACACUGCUGAUUCAGUAUGCUUCCACCCGGCCCUCCGGGGUUCCAGCCCGGUUCAGCGGCAGCGGGUCUGGGACGGAUUUCACUCUGACCAUCAGUGAUGUGGAAGCUGACGAUGCAGCAGACUACUACUGUCAGCAAGCUUAUAGUGCCCCUCUCCCACAGUGCUCCAGUCCCGUACAAAAACCUCCUCAGUGAUAGUGGUCCCAGCUGCCCUCCCUUCCACGCAGUUGCUCUGA